GGUGAUAGUCCCGUACACCAAAAUGCACAGGCUGUGAACUCGAAGAGUAGGGCGGGACACGUGGUAUCCUGUCUGAAUAUGGGGGGACCAUCCUCCAAGGCUAAAUACUCCUGACUGACCGAUAGUGAACCAGUACCGUGAGGGAAAGGCGAAAAGAACCCCGGCGAGGGGAGUGAAAAAGAACCUGAAACCGUGUACGUACAAGCAGUGGGAGCACCUUCGGGUGUGACUGCGUACCUUUUGUAUAAUGGGUCAGCGACUUAUAUUCUGUAGCAAGGUUAACCGUAUAGGGGAGCCGCAGGGAAACCGAGUCUUAACUGGGCGUUAAGUUGCAGGGUAUAGACCCGAAACCCGGUGAUCUAGCCAUGGGCAGGUUGAAGGUUGGGUAACACUAACUGGAGGACCGAACCGACUAAUGUUGAAAAAUUAGCGGAUGACUUGUGGCUGGGGGUGAAAGGCCAAUCAAACCGGGAGAUAGCUGGUUCUCCCCGAAAGCUAUUUAGGUAGCGCCUCGUGAAUUCAUCUUCGGGGGUAGAGCACUGUUUCGGCUAGGGGGUCAUCCCGACUUACCAACCCGAUGCAAACUACGAAUACCGAAGAAUGUUAUCACGGGAGACACACGGCGGGUGCUAACGUCCGUCGUGAAGAGGGAAACAACCCAGACCGCCAGCUAAGGUCCCAAAGUCAUGGUUAAGUGGGAAACGAUGUGGGAAGGCACAGACAGCCAGGAUGUUGGCUUAGAAGCAGCCAUCAUUUAAAGAAAGCGUAAUAGCUCACUGGUCGAGUCGGCCUGCGCGGAAGAUGUAACGGGGCUAAACCAUGCACCGAAGCUGCGGCAGCGACACUAUGUGUUGUUGGGUAGGGGAGCGUUCUGUAAGCCUGCGAAGGUGACCUGUGAGGGUUGCUGGAGGUAUCAGAAGUGCGAAUGCUGACAUAAGUAACGAUAAAGCGGGUGAAAAGCCCGCUCGCCGGAAGACCAAGGGUUCCUGUCCAACGUUAAUCGGGGCAGGGUGAGUCGACCCCUAAGGCGAGGCCGAAAGGCGUAGUCGAUGGGAAACAGGUUAAUAUUCCUGUACUUGGUGUUACUGCGAAGGGGGGACGGAGAAGGCUAUGUUAGCCGGGCGACGGUUGUCCCGGUUUAAGCAUGUAGGCUGGUUGUCCAGGCAAAUCCGGAUAAUCAAGGCUGAGGUGUGAUGACGAGGCACUACGGUGCUGAAGUAACAAAUGCCCUGCUUCCAGGAAAAGCCUCUAAGCAUCAGGUAACAUCAAAUCGUACCCCAAACCGACACAGGUGGUCAGGUAGAGAAUACCAAGGCGCUUGAGAGAACUCGGGUGAAGGAACUAGGCAAAAUGGUGCCGUAACUUCGGGAGAAGGCACGCUGGUGUGUAGGUGAAGUCCCUGCGGAUGGAGCUGAGACCAGUCGAAGAUACCAGCUGGCUGCAACUGUUUAUUAAAAACACAGCACUGUGCAAACACGAAAGUGGACGUAUACGGUGUGACGCCUGCCCGGUGCCGGAAGGUUAAUUGAUGGGGUUAUCCGUAAGGAGAAGCUCUUGAUCGAAGCCCCGGUAAACGGCGGCCGUAACUAUAACGGUCCUAAGGUAGCGAAAUUCCUUGUCGGGUAAGUUCCGACCUGCACGAAUGGCGUAAUGAUGGCCAGGCUGUCUCCACCCGAGACUCAGUGAAAUUGAACUCGCUGUGAAGAUGCAGUGUACCCGCGGCAAGACGGAAAGACCCCGUGAACCUUUACUAUAGCUUGACACUGAACAUUGAGCCUUGAUGUGUAGGAUAGGUGGGAGGCUUUGAAGUGUGGACGCCAGUCUGCAUGGAGCCGACCUUGAAAUACCACCCUUUAAUGUUUGAUGUUCUAACGUUGACCCGUAAUCCGGGUUGCGGACAGUGUCUGGUGGGUAGUUUGACUGGGGCGGUCUCCUCCUAAAGAGUAACGGAGGAGCACGAAGGUUGGCUAAUCCUGGUCGGACAUCAGGAGGUUAGUGCAAUGGCAUAAGCCAGCUUGACUGCGAGCGUGACGGCGCGAGCAGGUGCGAAAGCAGGUCAUAGUGAU
rnacentral:rRNA from 1 species